rnacentral:rRNA from 1 species
GAUGAACGCUGGCGGCGUGCUUAACACAUGCAAGUCGAACGGAAAGGCUCCUGCUUGCAGGGGUACUCGAGUGGCGAACGGGUGAGUAACACGUGGGUGAUCUGCCCUGCACUUCGGGAUAAGCCUGGGAAACUGGGUCUAAUACCGGAUAGGACGAUGGUUUGGAUGCCAUUGUGGAAAGUUUUUUCGGUGUGGGAUGAGCUCGCGGCCUAUCAGCUUGUUGGUGGGGUAAUGGCCUACCAAGGCGUAGACGGGUAGCCGGCCUGAGAGGGUGUACGGCCACAUUGGGACUGAGAUACGGCCCAGACUCCUACGGGAGGCAGCAGUGGGGAAUAUUGCACAAUGGGCGCAAGCCUGAUGCAGCGACGCCGCGUGGGGGAUGACGGCCUUCGGGUUGUAAACUCCUUUCGCUAGGGACGAAGCGCAAGUGACGGUACCUGGAGAAGAAGCACCGGCUAACUACGUG